GACGAACGCUGGCGGCGUGCUUAACACAUGCAAGUCGAACGGAAAGGCCUGCUUUCCCUUGUGGAUUGCGGGUGCUCGAGUGGCGAACGGGUGAGUAACACGUGAGUGAUCUGCCCCCAACUUGGGUAUAAGCCUGGGAAACUGGGUCUAAUUCCCGAUAGGACUGCAGGGUGGUGCCUGUGGUGGAAAACGAUUUUCUAGUGGUUGGGGAUGAGCUCGCGGCCUAUCAGCUUGUUGGUGGGGUAAUGGCCUACCAAGGCGGCGACGGGUAGCCGGCCUGAGAGGGGGGACGGCCACAUUGGGACUGAGAUACGGCCCAGACGCCUACGGGAGGCAGCAGUGGGGAAUAUUGCACAAUGGGCGGAAGCCUGAUGCAGCGACGCCGCGUGGGAGAUGACGGCCUUCGGGUUGUAAACUCCUUUCGACCGCGAGGAAGCCACCUGGUUGGAAGGGUGGUGACGGUAGUGGUAGAAGAAGCACCGGCUAACUACGUG
rnacentral:rRNA from 1 species